CCUACGGGUGGCAGCAGUGAGGAAUAUUGGUCAAUGGGCGCGAGCCUGAACCAGCCAAGUAGCGUGAAGGAUGACUGCCCUACGUGUUGUAAACUUCUUUUAUAAGGGAAUAAAGUGAGGCACGUGUGCCUUGUUGUAUGUACUUUAUGAAUAAGGAUCGGCUAACUCCGUGCCAGCAGCCGCGGUAAUACGGAGGAUCCGAGCGUUAUCCGGAUUUAUUGGGUUUAAAGGGAGCGUAGAUGGGUUGUUAAGUCAGUUGUGAAAGUUUGGGGCUCAACCGUAAAAUUGCAAUUGAUACUGGCAGUCUUGAGUACAGGUGAGGUAGGCGGAAUGCGCGGUGUAGCGGUGAAAUGCGUAGAUAUCGCGAAGAACUCCGAUUGCGAAGGCAGCUUACUAACCUGACACUGACAUUGAGGCACGAAAGUGUGGGUAUCGAACAGGAUUAGAUACCCGUGUAGUC
rnacentral:rRNA from 1 species